rnacentral:rRNA from 1 species
UACGGAGGGGGCAAGCGUUGUUCGGAAUUAUUGGGCGUAAAGGGCGCGUAGGCGGCCGACCAAGUCGGGUGUGAAAUCCCUCGGCUCAACCGAGGAACUGCAUUCGAUACUGGUUGGCUAGAGUCCGGGAGGGGAUGGUGGAAUUCCCAGUGUAGCGGUGAAAUGCGUAGAUAUUGGGAAGAACACCGGUGGCGAAGGCGGCCAUCUGGACCGGCACUGACGCUGAGGCGCGAAAGCCAGGGGAGCGAAUGGG